rnacentral:misc_RNA from 1 species
GAAAAGCUAAGAGCAAAAAAGCGGGAUCGUGUGUGAGUGAGGCUUCUUCGAGAGAGAACGCAAUCCCAUAAUCCUUUGGAUUCAGCUUUUAGUUACUCUUUCUUUGGCGGAGUCUCCAAUCCAUUACACUACUAAACAACAAGAGAAAACAGUGGAACACCGACAACAACGACCAAGGAAAAAGCAAUGGCAAAGAGAAGCCAAUCAGCGGAAACGAAGGCAUCCCAUCUUGUCGAUUUUCACUGUUCUUGAUGCUAUAGAAAGAAAACAGAGUGUGAGAAGAGAGAGUUGUGGGAAGGAUAGAAAAUGGGAGUAUUGCAUGAGGAUGCGGUGGUAAUCAGUGAGGCUGAGAAGCCUGGAGAGUCCACUGUGAUCACUGUGAAUUGCCCUGACAAAACUGGGCUUGGCUGUGAUUUGUGCAGGAUUAUCUUGCUCUUUGGGCUAAGUAUUUCUAGAGGAGAUUUGCAAACGGAUGGGAAAUGGUGCUACGUAGUGCUUUGGGUGGUGGGGAAGCCAAACACAAGGUGGAGUUUGUUGAAGAAGAGGCUACUGGAGGUAUGCCCUUCAUAUUUUUCAACAUCUGAAAUCUCCUACUACAGGCCACAGAACCAGGAGCCAAAGCAGCCAGAUGUGUUUCUCUUGAAGUUCUGGUGUUCUUAUGACCGAGAAGGCCUUUUACAUGAUGUAACUGAGGUUCUCUGUGAGUUGGAGCUGAUCAUAAAGAGAGUGAAGGUGUCCACUGCCCCAGACGGGAGAGUGAUGGACCUCUUUUUCAUCACAGAUACUAGGGAACUCCUUCACAUGAAAAAUCGGCAAGAGGAAACAAUUCACUAUUUGAAGGAUGUAUUAGGAGAUGCCUUGAUAAGUUGUGAGAUUGAACCAGCUGGUGCAGAAGUCACUGCAUGUUCCCAAGGUUCAUCUUUUCUUCCUUCUGCAAUCACAGAAGACAUGUUCAGUUUGGAGCUGCCUGAUCAACACCAAAAUGGAUUUCUUAAUUCCAACCCUGUAACAGUUACAGUGGACAACACUCUGAGCCCGUCUCACACACUUGUUCAAAUUUUCUGCAAGGAUUACAAAGGUCUUAUGUAUGAUAUGAUGAGAACCUUGAAGGAUUAUAACAUCCAGGUAACUAAUUUAAGCUCUAAACUAUAUCUUAUCAACAAUACUUGGACUUUGACUUUCUUGCUGGCUGCCAGAAGACUUGAGUUGGGGCAUUGAUGAUGCAGGACCUAUAAUAUCUCUGUAAAAAAAUGGUCCUUUACUACCGAGACUGAUGAGUUUACACCUGAAUUUAUUGUUUAUUUCCUAUAAAUUGAGUGAUACAGUGGGACAUGGUGUACAGCUUGUGCAAAAAGGCUUUGGGCUUGAUUGACGAAUAAAAGUGCCCUAUCCAGUUUCUUGUUCUGAGUAUUUUUCAUUUGUUACUGAUACUUAAAUGUAAAAGUCAUUUUUUUGUCAGAUUUCUUAUGGACGGUUUUUUGCAAGCCCAAAAAGGAACUGUGAAGUGGACUUGUUCAUAAUGCAAGCGGAUGGCAAGAAGAUAAUUGACCCCAAUAAACAAGAUGCAUUAUGCUCUCGUUUGAGAAUGGAGCUUCUGCGCCCCCUUAGAGUUGCCGUUGUUAGCCGGGGUCCUGAUACAGAGCUGCUUGUUGCCAACCCUGUUGAGUUGUCUGGGAGGGGCAGGCCUCUCGUGUUUUAUGAUAUUACCCUGGCUCUCCAAAUUCUAAGCACUGGCAUCUUCUCAGUGGAGAUUGGAAGGCAUAUGAUUCAUGACCGAGAGUGGGAAGUGUAUAGAAUACUACUUGAUGAAGGGGGUGGAGUUACCGUGCCCAGGAACAAGAUUGAAGAGGGUGUAAGAAAAAUACUAAUGGGUUGGGAUUAGACUGGAUACUCACUUCAGUUAGGAGCCUUCACCACCAUUGUACAGCAUAUUUUCUUAGCCUUCUGGAGUCUAUACUACAGCUAGAUGCUAACCACAUACAGAAUGUAAAUCAUGAAUGCCUUAGAAUAGAUUUGGUAAGCUAUUUGAUUUCCUGCCACUGGAAUCGCAUUGCUUUACAAGAUCAGGUUUGGUUCCUGCUAGACCUCCCCUGUUUGAUAGGCCAGGAACAUCGUGAAGGCUGAUGCUCUUUCAGCUUGAGAUCAACCAAUGCAUGAACAAGGGUAUUCUUAUGAUUUCAGUUGCUUGCAUGAUCUUUAUAUCUCCAUGCUGCAGCAACUAAGCACUCACCCUGCAGAAAUGCUCAAUUUGUCAAGUACCAAAUGUCAAACAGAUAAUUUUCCAUGCAUGGAACUCAAAAAGAUUACAAUUUUCCAAUGGUCAAAUACUUCCUCAUAGUGUGAAGGGUGAAGGGUUCAAGUCUUACUACUUUUUUCCAUGGUCUUGAGGAUAUGGAGAGCCCUAGGCCCUAGCUUUAAGAUGGUAUGGCAAUUAGGUAGUUUAUAGCGUGGACGCUCACAAUCAUUAUUUCCAGAAGCAAAUGGGAGAAAUUAUUUCAGGCAGUUGAGCACUUGAGCAAAAUGACAAAAUCUUUAUUUCAAAUCGAUGCAAUUUGAAAUAAUGGUUUUAGAUUUGUUUUUUCCCUAGAAGAAAGGUUAAAUGCGGGGGACUUAUGAUUCAAUUUUUAAUUUUUAUUUCUUCUUUUGCUCAUUAAUUGAAUUAAAGUUGUUAUGAAAGAAGAGGAAGAAGCAUAAUUUGUUGUUUUUUUAUUUUUUGUGGUCAAGAGGUGUAUUACUUAACCAAACUAAUUACUCUCUGGAUCCUGUAAUAGUCUGAAAAUCACGAGAGUCAG